rnacentral:lncRNA from 1 species
CUCUCUUGCCACACACACAAGGGAGCUCAGAGCCCUCUUCUAACAAAUGGCACCCGAACAGGGAUAAGAAAGGUAGACCAGUCAGGAGAUGUCUGAGAGGACUGCCAGGCAGAGAGGCCCUAUCUUAAGAGAGCUGAAAGAACCUCUGGCAAGAGAGCGGAAAGAAGCUCUAGAAAAAGAGCUGAAAGAAGCCCUACGGAGACACAGGCUGAAAGAAGCCCUGUCCUGCUGAAAGAAGCACAAGACUGAGAGAAGUCUUACCGUCCUCAGCCGACUGCCGUUCAUUCAACAAAGCUGGUGAUUGAAAAUGCGAACGCUGACUACCAAGAGGUGCUGCGUGCUGUAAAGAAUCCCACUACUGAAGAAUUUGCACAACAAAAGGCGCUGGAGUGGAAGCUAUCGGAGCUCAGCAACUCGAAGCAAGGCUUGCAGACCCUGAGCCUAUGGCUCAUUCACCACCGCAAGAGAAGAAGGAUCAAACCUCCAGGCUUGGUGGACGUUAGCGUGUGGGAGCAGGAGCUACGAAAGCUGCUGCUGAGACGUAUGCUUGUUUGGACUCGCACUCAUUUCAGUUGUUGACAUUGUUGCAGUGUAUUUUUCUAAACCUUUAGCUGUUGUAGCAGUUGUUAAAUGCUCCAGAAAAUUCUAAGAUAGGCCUAACAACGUUGAAAGUAUGUUUGAAAGUUGUGCUAUGUCUGCAUUCUAAAUUAGAAAACAGUAUUUUCUGUAAAAUUACGUGUGUUCAUGUGCAGUAGAUUGGCAAUGUAGGAAGCUUUCUCAUAUUUGGUUGUAUAAUACAACUUGAUUGACUGAAUAUCUUCUGGUGUUUAAGAAUGUAAUGUGUAUAUUUACAACUGUAUAUUGUUGGAAAUAUCCAAAUAAUUUUGUCAGGACGGUAUCUCUGAUAAAGCAGAUUUUAUUCGCGAUUGCAAUGGUGGGAGUCCCACAAGCAGGAGAGCACGCUUAUGGGCAUGGAUGUUAGCUUUUGUACCUUGUUUCUCCCCCCCCCGCCCCUCCUUGCCUCUCCUGUUUCCCCACUGGCUGGGUACUCCAGGUUCACAAUCUUAUCAAAAGGUUUACAUUUGUUAAUUACUUGUUAAAUCGUGUGUUAUCUGGUGUCAGUCAGUAGCAGUCCUGUUGUCUCCAAGAUGUUUUGGUACCCUUCUCAUUCGUACUGAUUUUCUUCAGAGUCUUAGAUAAAGACAAAGAGUACGGAAGGGGGGGUGGAGGGGGGUGCCAGAUCUUCCUCAAUACAUUCUUCAGGCACUCCCUAAGGCAUGUCACGAGUUGUCCUUUUAAUUUGUGCAGGAUAUUCUUGCAAUGUGUGUGACAUAUAUUAUUUUAUGCUGGCUAUACGUAAGUUGUUACUAGCUUACGUAUGUAUGCAUAUAUUAUUUUACUUAUAUACUGAGUAUACAUUGUUGGGGAAGGUUUAUCUAGAGGAUGAGCAAUGAAAACUAUCAGAGAACCCUGAUAAAGUAGAAAAACCCCUGAAAAGAGUUAUUAAUUGUAAUAAAGAACCCAAAUGGUAGCAGAGGUCAUGAAAUUAACAAAAUUCUUAUCUUGUUUCUGAUGCAGAAACAACAUUCAAUUCCCACAAUAUGUUACCUGCACCUGCCUGGCUUUCAUAAUUCUGGUUCUGAAUAUAUAGUUGCAGUGAUUUAAAUAAUAAUAAUAAUAAUAAUAGAUUUUCCUAUUAAAAACAAAAAUAAAAACAACCAAAUGAAAAGCCAAAAAUAAACAAAAAAUAGUUGUAUUGCAUGCGCAAGAACUCAGAGCCCUCUUGCAUCAGGUGGCUGGAAAUGCUUCCUGUGACACAUACCACCAAACAAAAAACUAUCUUGGGCCUUGAAAAGUAAGUCUUGUGGUAAUAUGGGAUUCCAGGAAGAUCUGAAUUGAAAAAACUGAGUCAGAUAACAGGACCCAUUUGCAAAACCAUCUCAGAAACACUUAGGUUGAAGAGCAUGGCACUGAGUAAUUAUAUCACAGACCCUAUCAUACACCAACCUCGGGAAAAUCAAAUGAUGCAAUGGACUGUUAAAGACUAUACUGAGAUCCGUGGGUGCUGGGACAUUCAAAUAGUAGGAUACACAUUUAGUAAAAGCCAUCUGGUUAGUCAAUACUAGGGACUCUGCCAGUAUAGCUGGUUCUGUGCAAUCAAAUCUCUUAUGUACCAUAGAAGGAGAAGAAGCCCCUCUGGUGCACAUGAAAAACAUGCAGGGCAAGACAGUCUGGGUUAUUCCUGCCUCAGGCACAGGCAAGACUAUUCAGGGGAUUGCUUUCACUCAAGGACAUGAGUGUAGUUGGUGGAUAUACGGCAGAAUGUAUGAAUUUGGUAUGUACUUAUCGGGGAAGUACAUGCUCUGAAAGACUGUUCUGACAGAUGGAACCCAAAGUCAUAGACUAAAUUAACUCCAUGGACAAUUUAGAGGGAUGGCCCAUAAACUAUGGAAAUGAUAUGUGUGUAUAUCAAAAAGUAGGACAACUGAUAAUUAUUAAUUGGGAUGUAUGAGAAUGUAUGGGAUCUGAGCAUAAUAUAGAUGGCAUGAAAUAAGGAAUAUAUAUUGUUCCAGUUUUGAGUGGGACAGAGUUGAUUUUCUUCAUAGGGUCUGUUAUGAUGCUAUGUUUUUGCUAUAGGAGAAAACUGAUAGCAUACCUAUGUUUUAGUUCUUGCCAAGCUGUGCUGCACAGAGCCAAGGACAUUUCAGUUCCUCAUGCUAUCCUGCCAGUGAGGGGCCUGGGAGCGCACAAGGAUCUGGGAGGGGACGGAAGGACAACUGAUCUAAACUGGAUGAAGAGAUAUACUAUACCACAAGAUGUCAUGUGAAAAGAAUAAAACUGUGGCUAGUUGACCAAGGGGACGAACAUAGUUUGGGAAGUGGAUGCUUAUCAGAUAUCAAGUGGUGGCCAAGUUUGCUGUGCAUCACUUGUUUUAUGUUUUGUGUUUUAUGUUAUGUGUUACAUGUAUGACAUAUAUGAAAAUAUAUGGAAAUAUAUUUGUAUACAUAUCAAAUAUACAUAUGGAAAUAUAUCCAUAUGCAUAUGGAAAUAUAUUUGUAUACAUGUCCAUAUAUGUAAGACAUACAUGGAAAUAUAGCAACGAUGAUCCAAAAGUAAUGCCUCCUAUUUUAUUAUAUUAGCCCAUAAUGUCAAAAGUAGAUUUUGGUGCCGUGCCAGUAAAGGAUGAACCUUUCUGCCAAUACUCCACUACAUUUUGUUGCUGUGCAACAGAUGGCAGCAGAGAGUCUUUCAAAAUGGCAUCUACGUGGAAGUACAGAUGAAGAAAAGGUGUAUCAUUGAAUUCCUCCAUGCAGAAAAAAAUUGCAUCCAUUGACAUUCACUGUUGCUUACUGAAGAUUUAUGAAGACCAAACAGAGAAUGUGAGCACAGUGAGGUGGUGGGUGGUGGGUUUUAUCAGUGGUAACCGAGACAGUGUGUCACCUCUACUGGUGUAGAUUUUCACAGGUACACUAUGCAGGUUCUUGUUCACUGCUGGUGUAAAGGCAUGGCUAAUGGUAUUGACUAUGUUGAAAAGCAGUUUUUUGUUUGAGAUUUUUUUAUAUCAAAUAGUAUUACUGUCCUCCCUAGAGUUGUAGUCACUUCCAGGAAAAUAAAUAGAACGUAUUAUUUUC